rnacentral:rRNA from 1 species
GGUUGUUCCCCCAAAUGGAGUGGCCCUCCGGAGCUCACGAGUCAAGUCGAUCCACAGGGGAGAACCCCGCAAGGUUGAAGAUCAAAUGAAUUGAAGAGGGGCCGCACAAGCGGUGGAGCAUGUGGUUUAAUUCGAUGCAACGCGAAGACCCUUCCGUAUUCUUGACAUCCAGACACUUUCUUAGCGAGGGAUUGGUGCCUUCGGGAACGUUAAGACAGGUGCUGCAUGGCUCAACACAGUUCGUCCUGUUGAAAGUUGGGUUAAGUCCCGAGGCGAUCUUCACCAUUAUCCCUUGUCUGCAGCGAUCCGGUCGGCAACUUAAAGUAGACCCCCGGUCAUAAACCCGUGGAAGGUGGGGAUGAGUUCAAGUCAUAAUGGCCCUUAAAUCCUGGAACCCACGAAGGAUAGUCGCGCAAGCAAAGCCGAGCGACCUCGUAAGAGCAAGCGGCACUCAUAAAAUCCUAAUAGUGAGGACCGGAGUUCCCCACUCGACUUCGUGAAGUGGGAAUCGGUAUUAGU